rnacentral:rRNA from 1 species
AUUGAACGCUGGCGGCAGGCCUAACACAUGCAAGUCGAACGAGCGGCGGACGGGUGAGUAAUGUAUGGGGACUGCCCGAUAGAGGGGGCUCACUACUGGAAACGGUGGCUAAUACCGCAUACUAUCGGAUAACCCAUAUUGGAUUAGCUGGUAGGGGUGGUAAAGGCUCACCUAGGCGACGAUCUCUAGCUGGUCUGCAAGGAUGAUCAGCAUCACUGGAAUGACGAAACGGCCCAGACUCCUCCGGAGGCAGCAUUGGGGAAUAUUUCACAAGGGGCGAAAGCCUGAUGCAGCCUGGCCGCGAGUAUGAGAAAGGCCUUAGGGUUGUAAAGUACUUUCAGCGGGGAGGCGUUACCCGCAGAAGAAGCACCGGCUAACUCCGUGCCAGCAGCCGCGGUAAUAC